rnacentral:hammerhead_ribozyme from 1 species
AUCCAGUUGAUGAGUCCCAAAAUAGGACGAAAUGCGCGUCGUAAAU